GCAUCGAUGAAGAACGC
rnacentral:rRNA from 1 species